CAACAAAUCAAUAAUGCUUCCUAGAGAGGUAAAGGGCGAGAUAAACAUGAAUCAAAUACUCCUAAAGUUUGAGUAGAAUUCCUCAACAAUCCCAAGAUGCUUCGACCUGGUUGUUGCCAGAAUUUGUAAUUUCUCUGCUUUCUCUUGUGGGUCAUCCGUGGUCUAGCUCCUCUAAAUCAAUUGAUCAUCCUUUUCACACAAGUAUCUACACUGUACCAAGGUAGUGUUAUCUUUUUUAAACUCUUUAUCAUCCAAUUCUUUUCUUGUUGACCAUAUCAUUAUUUAGGUGUUUGGGGUUUGGCCACUGUUAUGUGGCGUUGAAGGAGUUGAUUGUAGCUCUCCUAUCUGUAAGUGCUUACAUUCCAUUUCAUCACUCCCUUUUGAUCAUUUUUCUAUCAACUCUAAUUCUAAAUCUCCAAUCUUUCUUUUCCUCAAUUGUACAUAUGAAUGGAGAUCCUUCCACCGCUGCAAACUACGACCUAAAGCUGAACUCUUGAAGUUAAGGGCACAUCUAACGCCUGUCUCCUUUGUUUUUGGUGAAAGUUUUUGUGUUCUAACAUAUAUUAUCAAAACUUGUUUAGCAUCUUUAAUGUUCGUGUGUGUACGACACACAAUUUUGUAACUAUCUUUACUAUUGUAGCUUUUCUUGUUGAAAUUUUCAGUACUUUCUUGCA